AUUGAACGCUGGCGGCAUGCCUUACACAUGCAAGUCGAACGGUAGCGGGCCUUCGGGUGCCGACGAGUGGCGAACGGGUGAGUAAUGUAUCGGAACGUACCUUUCAGUGGGGGAUAACGUAGCGAAAGUUGCGCUAAUACCGCAUAUUCUGUGAGCAGGAAAGCAGGGGAUCGCAAGACCUUGCGCUGAUUGAGCGGCCGAUAUCAGAUUAGCUAGUUGGUGAGGUAAAGGCUCACCAAGGCGACGAUCUGUAGCGGGUCUGAUAGGAUGAUCCGCAACACUGGAACUGAGACACGGUCCAGACUCCUACGGGAGGCAGCAGUGGGGAAUUGUGGACAAGGGGGGCAACCCUGAUCCAGCCAUGCCGCGUGAGUGAAGAAGGCCUUCGGGUUGUAAAGCUCUUUCGGCCGGGAAGAAAUCGUAUCAGCUAAUACCUGGUGCGGAUGACGGUACCGGCAUAAGAAGCACCGGCUAACUACGUGCCAGCCGCCGCAGUAA
rnacentral:rRNA from 1 species